GCAAGUCGAACGGGGGCGAAGUGCUUGCACUUCAACCUAGUGGCGCACGGGUGAGUAACACGUAGGUAACCUACCCUGGAGAGGGGAAUAACAUGCCGAAAGGUAUGCUAAUACCCCAUGGUACCAGAACAUCGAAUGGUGGACUGGUUAAAGGACGGUCGCAAGAUUUCCACUCCGGGAUGGGCCUGCGCACCAUCACGCUUGUUGGUAAGGUAACGGCUUACCAAGGCUUUGACGGUUAGCCGGCUUGAGAGAGUGAAC
rnacentral:rRNA from 1 species